UACGGAGGGGCUAGCGUUGUUCGGAAUUACUGGGCGUAAAGCGCACGUAGGCGGCUUUGUAAGUUAGAGGUGAAAGCCCGGGGCUCAACUCCGGAAUUGCCUUUAAGACUGCAUCGCUAGAACGUCGGAGAGGUAAGUGGAAUUCCGAGUGUAGAGGUGAAAUUCGUAGAUAUUCGGAAGAACACCAGUGGCGAAGGCGACUUACUGGACGACUGUUGACGCUGAGGUGCGAAA
rnacentral:rRNA from 1 species